AUGCUCACUUUGGCAGCACAUAUACUAAAAUUGGAACGAUACAGAGAUUAGCAUGGCCCUCACGAGGAUGACAUGCAAAUUUGUGAAGCAUUCCAUUAUUUA
rfam:Tupaia chinensis contig32037, whole genome shotgun sequence.